GUGGGUUGAACCUGGUUUUGUGGCAUGCCAAACCUCGCACUUUAAUGGCAAUGUUAAAUAUAACAUAGAAAUGACAACAUAAUAUUACAGGACUACAAUACAAAUAAAUAGGAAAACGUAUUAGACAAAGAAACACAUGAUUAAUGAAUAACAAAAAGCAUCAGGUUUAAAAUUUAAUACGUCAAAAACGCGCCUCGUCCACACAAGACUCACCAGUGACGCCCAGAUAUAAAAGA
rnacentral:lncRNA from 1 species